rnacentral:rRNA from 1 species
UACGUAGGGGGCAAGCGUUGUCCGGAUUUAUUGGGCGUAAAGAGCGUGUAGGCGGCCAGGUAGGUCUGCUGUGAAAACUCCGAGGCUUAACCUCGAGAUGUCGGCGGAAACCAUCUGGCUAGAGUCCGGAAGAGGAGAGUGGAAUUCCUGGUGUAGCGGUGAAAUGCGCAGAUAUCAGGAAGGAACACCCGCGGCGAAGGCGGCGCUCGCCGGCGAACUUGACGCUGAGACCGAAAGCGUGGGAGCAAACAGG